rnacentral:rRNA from 1 species
AUUGAACGCUGGCGGCAUGCCUUACACAUGCAAGUCGAACGGCAGCACGGGGCAACCUGGUGGCGAGUGGCGAACGGGUGAGUAAUGCAUCGGAACGUACCUUUCAGUGGGGGAUAACGUAGCGAAAGUUACGCUAAUACCGCAUAUUCUGUGAGCAGGAAAGCAGGGGAUCGCAAGACCUUGCGCUGAUUGAGCGGCCGAUGUCAGAUUAGCUAGUUGGUGAGGUAAAGGCUCACCAAGGCGACGAUCUGUAGCGGGUCUGAGAGGAUGAUCCGCCACACUGGAACUGGGACACAGUCCAGACUCCUACGGGAGGCAGCAGUGGGGAAUUUUGGACAAUGGGGGCAACCCUGAUCCAGCCAUGCCGCGUGAGUGAAGAAGGCCUUCGGGUUGUAAAGCUCUUUCGGCCGGGAAGAAAUCGCACGGGCUAAUACCCUGUGUGGAUGACGGUACCGGAAUAAGAAGCACCGGCUAACUACGUGCCAGCAGCCGCAGUAACAC